rnacentral:lncRNA from 1 species
UUUUUUUUUUUUCCUUCUCUGUUAGCCUCAGGUUCUCAGUAUGUGAUACUACAAUGUUUUUGCUCCAGAUUUGCAAGUGCGGUGGUGUUCUCAAAUCAGUUUGUCACAUGGAAAAUGUUCUACAACAAAGAGGAUUAAUUGUUUUUCUUGUGUAAAUGCUUUGAAAUGGAAGAAAGCCCAUCUCUCACUGAAUUCUGCUUGGCUUCCACUACUGGAACUCUAGCCUGUAACUAUCCCUUUAGCCUCAUUCCCCAGCAAACCCCAACUCAUACUCCAUACCCCGGCAAAACUGAUCAGCCUACAGUUUCCCACCUAUCCCAUGUAGUUUCAUGCUUCUCGACAUUGUACUGAGGUAUAUCACCCCACUUAGCUCCUGGCAAAUGUCCACUUAUCUCUCAAGAUUGACUUUAGGUGUCCCUUCCUCAAGAAAGCCUUCUUUGAAUGGCCUAAUCUGAUUUGAGUUCCUCCCAUUAUUCUCUCUCCCAGUCCUGUUGUUUGCAUUGAUGGGAGUAUGUAUAAGGGAGGGGGGAGGGAAGACAUUAAUGUUUGAGAAGGUAAAUCUUGAGUUAGCCUGAGACUGAAUUUGAGCUUCACUACAUCCUUUGUGACCUUAGGCAAGUUACUAACUCUCUUUGAGAUUUCAUUGUCUUCCAUGAGAUGAGAUGACUUCUAGAACAGUUGUGACUAUUAAUAAGAAACUCCAUAUUGAGCACUUUAUUCUUUUUCUUUUUAUUUAUUUUUUCAUAUUGAGCACUUUAAACAAUGCAUAGCAUAUUAGAAGCAUUCUAUAUAUGCCGGACAUGAUUUUAGUAGUAAUUCUACUACUAGUAAACUACUACCACUAGUAAUUCUGCUACUUGUACUACUACUACAACUACCAAUAUCAAAACACUUUAACACCGUGCCAAAACUAUCUGUUUACAUGUUUGCCUCUCCUAGUAGACCUAGGGUGACCAACCAUCUCAGGUUGCCUAGCACUGAGAGGAUUCCUGGAAUAUGGGGUUUUCAGUGUUAAAACCAGAAUUGUCCCAGGAAACCAGGUUGACUGGCCAUAGUCACCAUCACUUGACCAAAAAUAGCUUAGUGGUUAGAGACUCUGACCUCUAAUCCUUGUACUCCCAGGGCUGAGAACAUUGCUUUUUUUUUUUUUUUUUUUGCAAUGGUAGGAGUGGGUUAAUGAGAGAUUUCUUAUUUUCUCCAGACAUGUGUAUAUGUUUCCAUACUCUGUAGAUUCCUUUGUAUUUUCUACCUGUAGUAGUCUGCUAGGGCUGCAAUAACAAAAUGCCAUAGAACAGGUGACUUAAACUAUAUAAACUUAUUUUCUCACAGUUCUGAAGGCUAGAAGUCCAACAUCAAACUUCCAGCUGGUUUUGUGUCUGAUAAGAACUCUCCUCUUGAGGGAUCCCUGGGUGGCUCAUCGGUUUAGCCGCCACCUUUGGCCAGGGCCUGAUCCGAGACCCAGAAUCGAGUCCCACGUCAGGCUCCCUGAAUGGAGCCUGCUUCUCCCUCUGCCUAUAUCUCUGCGCCUCUCUCUCUCUCUCUCUGUGUCUCUCAUGAAUAAAUAAAUUAAAAAAAAAAAAGAGCUCUCCUCUUGGCUGGGAGAGAGCCACCUCCUCCCUAUGUCCUCACAUGGCCUUUGCUUAGUGUGUGUACAGAGAGAGAAAAUGCGAGUUUUCUGAUGUCUCUUCUUAUAAGGACAUUAAUCCUAUCAGAUCAAGGACCCAUCCUUAUGACCUCAUUUAACCUUAAAUGCUUCCUUAGAAGCACCAUUUCCAAGUAUAGCCACAGUGGAGGUUAGGGUUUCAACAUGUGAAUUAUGGAGGAACAUAAACAUUCAUACUACUCUAACCUCCAUCUGUACCACAGAAAAAUCACUGCAUUAGUUAGUUAUUGCUGCAUAACAAACCACUCCAAAACUUAACAGCUUAUAACAGCAAGUACUUAAUUAACUCAUAAAUCUGAAAGUCAGGUAGUGGGCUUGACUCAUCUAGGAUGGCUUUCCUCAUAUAUCUGCAGGGCUAGUUGAUAGAUCAACUGAGGCUUCCCUAAUUUUGGUUAGUUUCUAUCACAUGUUUAGAGCCCAAGUUGGAAUGAAAUGGCUAACUCAGCUCUGCUUUACAUGGCCCCUUUAUCCUCCAAUAGGCUAGUUCAAGGUUAUUCACGUAGUAGAGACAAGAUCUUGAGAGAGAGCAGAAGUGUGCAAAGCCUUUAGAGCCUGGGCUGGGAACUGGCUCACCGUCACUUCUGUUGCAUUCAACUGGUCAAUUAAAGGCACAAUGCCAACUCAGGUUUAAGGGAAGGGAAAUAAAUGUGACCCCUUGGGCUGCAAAAUCACGUAGCAAGGACAUACAUACAUGAAUGGGUGCAAGAGUUGUGGUCAUGUUUAAAGUCUGCCACAAUUACUAAUCUAACACAAAGCUCUCAUUGCUCAGUAAAUGUUUAAGCUUAAAGCAGACAUUAUGAGUCAAAUAAAACAGCAAGAUCUGAGAGAUACGGUGUCUAGAAAUCAAGGAAAGUUUGUGCUGCAGGUUAGGUGUAUUAUUUAUGGGAGGUUAUACCACCAUCUUAAUACAAUGAUGAACUGUUCUUACUGGGAAGUGAUGUAUACAUAUAAUACCCUAAAUUGUUAGAAAAACACUCAAGUGGCCAGUUUUACAAAGUUUCACAAGUUGACCUCACAAAGGGUUAUCAUUUUGACAUUGACUAUCUGGGUUCCUCCUGAGCAUUUAGGACAGACUGGGUGGACUCUUAUUAGAGGAGGAAACAUCAGAGAGAGGGUUUCAGAGCCCCAAGGGAAGGAUAGGAUAGCUUCUUUCAUGCAUCAUCUUGGUGUAUUUAUACCACUUCUAAUGACCAGCAUUCAUCAGGUUGGCUGGCACUUUCAUCAUCUCAUCAAAGAAUUUUAAGGACAACAUUGGGGAAAUCGUAUCCUUUGGCCCCAAUAGCUGAUGAAGUAGAAAAGAGUGAAAACAAAAGCACUAGGCUAAAAAGGAGCUAUUUAAUUUGAUAUUUUUUAGUUCAAUGAACUAAACAGCUGAAUUAAUUAAAACCUACUUUAGGGCCACUUUAUAUAGUUAACUAGCACAAACGGGAUCUCAGGGCCUCAAGGGGCUUUGUGGGGAGAAGACCUCAGACAAACACUAACUAACAGCACACUGCAGUUUUAGAAAUACGUGUCGUUUGAAAAUCACACGCCUUUGCAGGGGAGUAUUGGGGUUUAUUGUGGACGUGGGAAUAAAGCAGGUCAUAAGCUACAGAGUAAAAAGGCCUGGGAGGGUGGUGAUUUGAGGGAGCAGAUGAAUUAAACUUAGGCAGUUUCUGCAGAACAGAAUGGUGCUAUUAUUAAACCAGAGCCUGUGAGAGAGAGAGAAAAAAAAAAAUAAGGCUUGCUGGAUGAAGUUGUCCAGAAGGAAGUCUGUCAGAUGGAACUCUGUCUAUGGGCUGUGAGUUCAGGACACCCAAUGUGUGCUGUUGGAUCAGGAGCAAAGAGCCUUAAAUAGGGACUAGACAGGUUCCUGUGUAAUCUGUGUUCUAGUUGCAAUUUGCUGUGUGACCUUGGGCAAGUCACUUUAGUAAUCUUGGCCUCAGUUUUUCAUCAGUAAACGGAUAAUGUUUUUAUAAUACUACCUCUUAUUCUAGGGCUGGUAGCAGGCUAGUAAUAUCACAUGCAUACUGCAGGCUGGUGUUAGUUGUUAAUAUUUAUCAUGAUGAACCUGAGAAUCUCAUGGUUAGUACUUAGAAACCUUAGUUCUUAGUUGAAAUUUCAUCACAGAUCAUGACUUAGAUCUAUCUUCUUGCUCAUAAGCACUUUUUGUAGUGUAAGAAUAGUAGAUGCUGUUGGCACCCCACUCAUGCCCAUUGACACUCUCUAUUUUGCUGGAGGCAUCUUGGUGCUUCUGCCUACUACAAAUGCAACAGGCUGGAAGUACCUGGGAAUUAACAUCCCCAGGAGUAGCCCUCAACCAGAUGCAAAGGGGAGGUGGUGGGUAGAUAGCGUUUCUUUCUCACUCCUCAGGUGGGACAGUUCUGAAGCAGUUUUCAUCAUCUCCUAGAGGUCUCCUUUAGAACUGAGCUGCAGUUGUCUAGAGAAAUCACCUGUGGAUGGUCACCCAUGACAUUGCCUUCCUUCCCUUCCAAGCUUCACAUCUUAGUUCCCUAGAUGAUUCUGGGCAUCGCUUCCCAAAUAAGCCAACACACUGCAUUUAAAUCUUUGUCUAAUGAAAAAAAAAUCUUUAUCUCAUGAGGCAGGAGGGACUAUGUCUGAUUCCUUUCUGGAUGCUAGCACUUCAAUCCUGGGACAUUGAUAAAGUUUAGUAAAUAAAGUAUGGGUUUAAGUUCCACCCUAUGAGGCUCCAACAAUAAGUCAGUUCUAUUCUUCUCAUGACAAUUCUUUGUCUCAAUGUACCUUUAGCUCCAUUCCUCCCUGACCAACCUCCCAUUUCCAAUCUUAGUUCCUCCAAAAGCUUCAUUUCCAAUUUUUAAAAAAAUUAUCUGUAGUGACUUGGUUGCAGAUUUGCCCUCCAUUCUAGAUUCUAUAUUCACAUGGUAUACUCAAGCAGUAGCAGUUAGAAGCUGAGCCCCGUAAUAAACUUGGUACUUGCUCUGCAGCAGAAUGGUGUGGUCAUUGUUUCAGGCAAUGUUUUAAAUCCUUAGGUGUAACAACUGCAUGGCCAUGCUCUGUAUUUACUGGCUAAACCCUUGAGUCUCUCUCAAAUGCCUUAUGUGUGCACACCCUUUGACUCAAAAGCUAUAACAUUCAUUUAGUUAUUUAUUCAAUAAACAUUCAUCAAGUGUACUAUAUGUCAGGCUUUGGGUUAGGCUCUGAGCUUAUAAAACUGAAGGAGACAAAUGUCUGCAACUGCAAAGUUCAACAUAGUCCCCUGGGAGACAAAUAGACACUUAAUACAUCUCUUUAGACUGAGACGGACAUGCAAAGAGAUUAUCACAGUGCAGUGUGGUCAAUGAUAUGUGACACAGCAGUAUUCUCAUAGGGUGGUCCUUAUACUGGCAGCAUGAGCAUCUCCUGAAAACUUAAACCUGCAUAUUUUCAGGCCCCACACAUUCAGAACUACUAAAUUCGAAAUUCUAGCACUGGGUGCUAUACUAUAUGUUGGCAAAUCGAACUCCAAUUAAAAAAUAUACCAAAAAAAUACAAAAAAAAAAAAAAAAA